GUCGAACGAUGAAACUUAGUAGACUUCUUCGGAAUGACACUAAGCGAAUUAGUGGCGAACGGGUGAGUAACGCGUGAGUAACCUGCCUUACACAAGGGGAUAGCCUUUGGAAACGAAGAAUAAUACCCUAUAAAACUAUAAAAGCACAUGCUAGAAUGGUCAAAGUGCUAGCGGUGUAAGAUGGACUUGCGUCUGAUUAGCUAGUUGGUGAGAUAAAAGCUCACCAAGGCAACGAUCAGUAGCCGGCUUGAGAGAGUGUACGGCCACAUUGGGACUGAGACACGGCCCAGACUCCUACGGGAGGCAGCAGUGGGGAAUUUUGCACAAUGGGGGAAACCCUGAUGCAGCGACGCCGCGUGAUUUAGAAGGCCUUCGGGUUGUAAAAAUCUUUUGUAUAGGAAGAAAAUGACAGUACUAUACGAAUAAGGUCCGGCUAAUUACGUGCCAGCAGCCGCGGUAAUACGUAAGGACCGAGCGUUGUCCGGAAUCAUUGGGCGUAAAGGGUACGUAGGCGGCUAGAAAAGUUAGAAGUCAAAGGCUAUAGCUCAACUAUAGUAAGCUUCUAAAACUAUUUAGCUUGAGAAAUGGAAGGGAAAGUGGAAUUCCUAGUGUAGCGGUGGAAUGCGCAGAUAUUAGGAAGAAUACCGGUGGCGAAGGCGACUUUCUGGCCAUUAUCUGACGCUGAGGUACGAAAGCGUGGGUAGCAAACAGGAUUAG
rnacentral:rRNA from 2 species